rnacentral:rRNA from 1 species
GAUCAUGGCUCAGGAUGAACGCUGGCUACAGGCUUAACACAUGCAAGUCGUGGGGAAACGGCAUUAUGUGCUUGCACAUUCUGGACGUCGACCGGCGCACGGGUGAGUAUCGCGUAUCCAACCUGCCCCUUACUUGGGGAUACCCCGUUGAAAGACGGCCUAAUACUCGAUGUGUUUCAUUGACGGCAUCCGAUAUGAAACAAAGGUUUUUCCGGUAAGGGAUGGGGAUGCGUCUGAUUAG